CCUGUUUGCCAGGAUUCCCUAAGAAGUUCCUUUCUCUUCAGGAGCUAUGGUAUGGUGUGCUGUGGUCUGAUACGGAGUUUUUGUCAAGAGCCCAGGGUUCAAGUCACAAGUUCAAGUCCCAGCUCAGCCACUUACAGACCAUGUGGCCGGGCAAACCAUGUGGCCACGGCUGCCUGGAACAUUGCUGACCCACGGUGAAUAACGCCUUCUGGUAUUCAUGCCCUUGCACACGGACUCUGGGUUUGGCCAUGUGACUUGCUCAGUCAGUGGGACACGAACAAGAGCCACGCAAGCAGCGCUUGACAAGUGCAGUGGGUGGUCCAGAAGCCAGCGCCAUGCUGCAGAGAAGCUCAGACUGCAGAGUGAUGAGAGGCCACGUGGAGACAGACCCUGGAGGACACUUUUCCUCCCAGGAAACAUGGGCAUCUUCAAAAAUCAGUACCAUCCAGAUCUCAGAAGUUCUAAGGCCACAGGAAAGGAAAACUUCAAAGACAGAAAAACAAGGUGCAGGAACCUCAGCAGACACCCCUGGGGGAGCCGGACUGACACCUGGGUCUUCAGGAACUGAUGCAAUCCAGGAGCCUCCAUGGGAGGGACGGCAGGGGGCGAGAUGAUGUGCAAAUGUUUAUUCUCUGUCCUGAGCUCUUUGCACACAUUAACUCAUGGAAUCCUCCCAAAUAUUCACAAGCCAAGUAGUACCAUUCCCAUUUUAUGGAGGACAUGAGUCUCAAAGGAGUGAAGCAGCCUGCCUUCGGUCACACAACUAACACAUGGCAGGGCUGAGACUUAAACCUCAAUGGAAGGAAACAACAGCCAGGUGCCUUCCAAAUCCUGGGUGUAAAUCCCUGCCCUUUGUGUGUUCCUGGGAGGCCUUGGGCACGUUGCUUAACCUCUCUGAGUUUCAGUUUCCCCAUGCAUAAAACUAGGACCCUCCUUGUCUCUUCCUCCUAAGAGCCUUGUGAGCAUAGAGAAUGAGUCUUGUGUGAUCAUGUGUUAGAUGUGUUAGUCAUAUUAAUUUUGACCCUGACUCCCACCCCAGCCUCCAGACCAGCCAGUUUUCCAUUACACUGAGUUGUUUCCAUCCUAUUGACACAAACAAGAUAAGAAUUUUUUUUAACCCAAACUCCAGGCUGAUCACAAAUUACACAAGAGUUGAUGUCCAUGUCUGAUUCAUAA